rnacentral:rRNA from 1 species
UUUUGUCAAAAUUCAUCCCCAAUUCUUCAAGAAAUUAUAAGGGAAGAUAUAUCACGUGAUGUGUACUCAAAGUAACAACUUUUCGUUCCAAAUUGAAAAAUUAACAUCUAUGAGAGGUUCUACAUAUAUUACAGCCAAGACUACACAGUUCGUUUUAAAUAUCAGUGCCAAAAAACGGCCAGUCCCUUUUUUGAGUCUUUUUGGUCUCCGUUUUCCGUGCGAGGCGUGGAACUUGCGGCUUAAUUUGACUCAACACGGGAAAUCUCACCAGGCCCGGACACCGGCAGGAUUGACAGAUUGAGAGCUCUUUCUCGAUUCGGUGGGUGGUGGUGCAUGGCCGUUCUUAGUUGGUGGAGUGAUUUGUCUGGUUAAUUCCGAUAACGAACGAGACUCCUUCCUGCUAAAUAGUUGCGACGUCCUUUGUUGCGUCGCAAAAAUCUUCUUAGAAGGACUGACAGCAUCUAGCUGUACGAGAUGGAGCAAUAACAGGUCUGUGAUGCCCUUAGAUGUUCUGGGCCGCACGCGUGUUACACUGAAGGGAUCAGCGUGUCCUCCCUGACCGAGAGGUCCGGGUAACCCGCUGAACCCCCUUCGUGGUAGGGAUCGGAGCUUGCAAUUAUUCUCCGUGAACCAGGAAUGCCCAGUAAGCGCAAGUCAUAAGCUUGCGUUGAUUACGUCCCUGCCCUUUGUACACACCGCCCGUCGCUACUACCGAUUGAACGUUUUAGUGAGGUAUUUGGACUGGGCCCUCUGGUGGUUCGCGCCUCCAGUGGUUUUGCCCGGGAAGAUUCCCAAACUUGAGCGUUUAGAGGAAGUAAAAGUCGUAACAAGGUUUCCGU